rnacentral:rRNA from 1 species
AUUGAACGCUGGCGGAAUGCUUUACACAUGCAAGUCGAACGGCAGCACGGGAGCUUGCUCCUGGUGGCGAGUGGCGAACGGGUGAGUAAUGCGUCGGAACGUGCCGAGUAAUGGGGGAUAACGCAGCGAAAGUUGUGCUAAUACCGCAUACGCCCUGAGGGGGAAAGUGGGGGAUCGCAAGACCUCACGUUAUUCGAGCGGCCGACGUCUGAUUAGCUAGUUGGUGGGGUAAAGGCCUACCAAGGCGACGAUCAGUAGCGGGUCUGAGAGGAUGAUCCGCCACACUGGGACUGAGACACGGCCCAGACUCCUACGGGAGGCAGCAGUGGGGAAUUUUGGACAAUGGGGGCAACCCUGAUCCAGCCAUUCCGCGUGAGUGAAGAAGGCCUCGGUUGUAAGGACUCUUUCAGGGGGUAAGGAGUAAUAGACUGUACCCCACG